CCACAAAGUAUUGUAUGCUAUGCCGUUCGAGAACUACGGAAAAGAAUGUUUCAGUACCAAGAGAUGAAAGCAGAAGGGAGCUGUGGUCAAGGAGCUGUGGCGUUCAAUUUACGAGUUCGAGCAAAAUUUGUAGCAAACAUUUCAAGGACUCGGACUUUUUUUACUAUCCGUCCGAAAACGCAACAAAGCGGAGACGACUGAUGCCAACUGCUGUACCGCAGAAUCAACGUGAGAAAGUUCUCACAGAGCACUUAAAAUCAGCUUGUGGGGACAAUGUUUGUGACUUCAACUCCCAAACUGACGAAGAAGUUUUGGAUUCUGGGCUUGCAUUAGACAAUUUAUGUUUGCAAAAGAAAGUUGCUGACUUGCAAAGGGAAAAAGCUAAGCUUCUUGAGCAAAUUGGGAAAACGCAGACGCUUAUUGAUUCCCUUAAUACCAUUUUCACCAAAUCGCAGAUCAGGAAACUUGAGAACGGCGGGAAAAGAGUUCAAUGGAAUCACGAUGACAUUUCGAAUGCGAUUUGUCUCCAUGCUGCUGGACCCCGGGCGUAUCGCCAUUUGAUCGAAAAGGGGUUUCCAUUUCCAUCCUUAUCCACUUUGGAUAAAUGGUUAUGAAUCAAAAUAUUCUAAUUUCCUUAAAAUUAUUUAUUUCGUUCUAUAUAUUAUCAAACAAAUUUUCUUUCCGGUCAGAAGACUGCAGCGUUUGUCUCUCUCAGAACCGAGAGAGCGAGUUGAGAAAGUGGAUGGACCCUCACUACAUCGGUCAACAGUAGUGUUAGGCAAACAACAAGCUUGUCAGAAAAUAAAACAAUAAGAUCUA